rnacentral:rRNA from 1 species
UACGAAGGGGGCUAGCGUUGUCCGGAAUUACUGGGCGUAAAGCGCACGUAGGCGGAUUUGUAAGUCAGGGGUGAAAUCCCGGGGCUCAACCUCGGAACUGCCUUUGAUACUGCAAGUCUCGAGUCCGAUAGAGGUGAGUGGAAUUCCUAGUGUAGAGGUGAAAUUCGUAGAUAUUAGGAAGAACACCAGUGGCGAAGGCGGCUCACUGGAUCGGUACUGACGCUGAGGUGCGAAAGCGUGGGGAGCAAACAGG